AGCAGCCGCGGUAAUUCCAGCUCCAAUAGCGUAUAUUAAAGUUGUUGCAGUUAAAAAGCUCGUAGUUGAAUUUCGGGAUUAGUACGCUGGUCGUGCCUUCGGUAUGUACUGGUGUUACUGGUUCCUACCUUCUGACGAACCGUCAUGUCAUUAAUUUGGUGUGGCGGGAAAUCAGGACUGUUACUUUGAAAAAAUUAGAGUGUUUAAAGCAGGCUCGCGCCUGAAUACAUUAGCAUGGAAUAAUGAAAUAGGACGUUCGAUCCUAUUUUGUUGGUUUCUAGGAUUGACGUAAUGAUUAAUAGGGAUAGUUGGGGGCAUUAGUAUUCAAUUGUCAGAGGUGAAAUUCUUGGAUUUAUUGAAGACUAACUACUGCGAAAGCAUUUGCCAAGGAUGUUUUCAUUAAUCAAGAACGAAUGUUAGGGGAUCGAAGACGAUCAGAUACCGUCAUAGUCUUAACCAUAAACUAUGCCGACUAGGGAUCGGAUGAUGUUAUUUUUAAUGACUCAUUCGGCGCCUUAAC
rnacentral:rRNA from 1 species